AUACGGCCACAUCAUAUUGAAACACCUGUUCUUGUACGAGCAACGAAGUUACGCAACAUCGAGCCUGGUCAAUAUUUAGAUGGGUGACCGCUUGGAAAUACCUGGUACUGUAAG